rnacentral:rRNA from 1 species
GAUGAACGCUGGCGGCGUGCCUAAUACAUGCAAGUCGAGCGAACGGACGAGAAGCUUGCUUCUCUGAUGUUAGCGGCGGACGGGUGAGUAACACGUGGAUAACCUACCUAUAAGACUGGGAUAACUUCGGGAAACCGGAGCUAAUACCGGAUGAUAUUUUGAACCGCAUGGUUCAAAAGUGAAAGACGGUCUUGCUGUCACUUAUAGAUGGAUCCACGCUGCAUUAGCUAGUUGGUAAGGUAACGGCUUACCAAGGCAACGAUGCAUAGCCGACCUGAGAGGGUGAUCGGCCACACUGGAACUGAGACACGGUCCAGACUCCUACGGGAGGCAGCAGUAGGGAAUCUUCCGCAAUGGGCGAAAGCCUGACGGAGCAACGCCGCGUGAGUGAUGAAGGUCUUCGGAUCGUAAAACUCUGUUAUUAGGGAAGAACAUAUGUGUAAGUAACUGUGCACAUCUUGACGGUACCUAAUCAGAAAGCCACGGCUAACUACGU